CGGGGUGCGCGGCUGGCGGGGAGCGGACCGUGCGUGUGCGCAGGAGUGUUAAAUGAAGAGUCCUGCUGGGGCAUGCUAUGAUAGGAGAGUCCUCAAAAAGCUUUAGAAGGCCAAACAAGCAGGAUUUGAACAGCUACACCAAAGCAUUGAAGAAUCAGACUUCAAUAAUCUUGACCUGCACCUAUAGAAAUAUAUUUGUUGGUUUGGAAAAAAAAGAAAAAAAAAAAAAAAAAGUUAGACAUACUGUUUUACCUGUGCAUCCUGGAUUAAAAGAAGAGUAGACAAAUAGUGUAUUAAUGACUGCCAGCUAGUGAAGCCACACAUUAUUGAGGAGUUGAGUGGUAUUUAAAAUUUGCUUCACUGAGGUUCUCGGAGCUCACCCAUGUUUAUCUUUAAUUUAAGUUAUCUUUAAUUUAAACUGAUUUCUGAGAAAAUAUUUUGUUUACACCAGACUAAUAACUAGUAAGUAGUCAGUGCUUUAGAAACAAAAUCAUGGGUGCAUGUGUAUGAACUGAAACUGAUUAAAAUUUUGUAGAAAUGUUUGCAAGCACUAAUGCAGUAACAUUUUUAUUAAUACAUUUUUAUUAAUACUUUAAAUCACUGUUUUCAAUCAUUUCAAUUUAUAACUAGCAAGGCACUUUAUCAAAUUAAGAAAUUCAGUAGUAUUUUAGAAAUAUUUCAGCCAACCAACCCAUAUAUUGUAAUGAAAAAUAAAUUCAUGAACUUUUAUUAAACUUCUGGCUUUCACAAGGACAGGAAAAUAUCCACUUUCAGAUUUGAAAAGCUGAAAUGGAUAAAGAUCCUUCGAGAUACUUGUUAUAACCUUUGAAGUUAAUGCAAAUAGAAAGAAAACCCCAAGUCAUGUGCUUUCUGACAACAAAAUACCUAAUCUGUGGUACUUUAACAGAUGAUUCAUUGCUCUUAUCUCAUGGCUUCCCUCAACAUUAAAGCACACAGCUGAGCAACAUAUGAGCCAAAGAAUUGCAGUGCCAAACUCUUCAGAACAAAGAUAACCACUUAAUGAAGAUUCCUUAAUUUUGAUGGGCAAGUUGUCUGUGAAUCACUGUCCAUUGGCACCGGUUGAGUGUUAGAUUAAAACUGAGCUCAGGUAUGAGAGAAUCAUACAUUAAGCCCCGUUCCUCAAGAGCAAUUUUGUUUUUAACUUGAGUUGGUUGGACUUCAGGAAACCGUCACAUAACUGUUCUGCUGGAGAGUUCAAAUAAAUGAACAUCACGUAUGGCAAUUUAUCUGCCUUACUGCUUUGAAGGCUGGAGCUUCCUUUCCUGCCCCUCAAAUCUGUCUUUGUGGUCACAUGAUGUGCUUUGUUAUUAAAAGCAACAGUGGCUGCAUGUAUUUCUUUAACAACUAACUCUUUAAUUGGAUAUGGACUUAAUAGAGGAACAUCUAUUGUGGUAUUCUGCUUUGAAAAUAUGUUCUCAAUGUACUGAAGUCCCAGCCAUAUUUUGAAAAGAACCUACAUGCUCUGGGAAAUGCCUUUGGGGCUGCAUAUUAACAUCCUCCACUGACAAUUAUGGAGUUGCCAAAGUUAGCUAAUCUUUAUGUAGCAGCAGCACAAAAUUAAAUAUUUUUGUACCCUUCCAUGCUAGAGAAUAGGAGUCUAGGAAGAAGACUAAUCUGCAGAAAACUUUAAUCAUGUGUGUUCCAGUAAACAACAAGGAAAACUAGAUUGCUUGUUUUGAGGGCCAUUGGAAUAUCAAGAAGAAAAAAGCCUCUUAUUUCAAAGGGCAAAAUUAGUGAGUAUGCUUGCAAAUAUUUUUAAAGUUGACCAAAAAUAAUGGGGAAACUACACGACAUUUUUUCUUGAGUAUUUGAGUGUUGUUACAUUUAAACUGAAAGGGAUUGCUUUUCUGGUUUUAGAGUCAUUUAUUGUGCAUGCUGCCAAACCGUAAGGCUGUUUUGUUAUUGCAAGCAUCUUGAAAGCAAGACAGCCUAUGACUAACAAGAGUAUAUCAGACCAAUUUCCUUCUAUCAGUCCAUUUUCUUUAGGAUGAAGUCUCCUAUCCUGCUGUUCUAAUAGAGCAAUAGAGCUUGUCUGCUUCUCUCAACAACAAAGGAAUAUUAUUUCAGGAAGGAUCAUUUACUCCAAUGAAUCUUUAUCAGAUACUGCAAUGUCCCACUUGCACAUCAUGGAGAUAUGAUGCUGUUUAGCAGCUAUUAGGAAUUGCAAGUGUAGUUAAAUGAUAUCAAGUGGUUUAAGAAACAUAAGGGAAGAUGGAGACGCUAAGACCAAGGAAGAUGCCAGAGAAAGGAUAAGACAGAAUGAUGAACAGUUUCCAUAGAGUAACAAAUCAUCUGUCUUAUUCAACUUAGUGGGUCAAGGAGCAGGUUGCUCCUCAGUGAAGCCUAUAAGAAUUUGAACCUGGUACCUCUGCUGGGACAAGUAGAAGAAAUGCCAUUGGAAAACUAGUGAAAACCAGCACUAACAUUUUUCUGGCUGAAAGCAUCAGAGACAGCACAGAAGCAGGGCUGAGGAGAGGUGCAAGCUACGCGGUGAAAGUGAUCAAAGCAUCAGAACUCCUGAAGGGUGCAGAAAGCUUGGUUCUAUUUAUUUAUUUGUUUGUUUGUUUUAUUGUUUUUAUUUUUAAUGUAAAAUGAAGGAGGGAAGAACGGACCAAGAUUCCUGGUAGGUCUCAAACUAAGUUCUGGAGAUCCUCCCCUGGUAUCACUUGAUCUUUGAGAAGGGUCAAUGGGUAAACAAAAUGCCUCCUCCCUGCUCCUUGUCCCCAUACUAUUGCUCCUGUGCUCAGUCUCUGCAGUGGCUAUCCUUGGGCAGUGCAGCUGACAAGGUAGCUCAUCUGCCUGAAGGUGUUAAUUCUCCACUUCUUUCAGCUUUGUUACUGAAAUAGCCUGUCCUGAAAUCAUUAUUAACCCUGAGAAGUGUGUGGUACAAUAGAAUCAGUAUUGUGAGAAACAAAGCUAUAUAAUAUAUAUACAAAGCUAUAUAUAGCAAUAUAUUCUUAUUGGUAUAGUUAAUUAGAAAACAAAACAAACAACAGACCUUUAUCUGCCAAUGGGAAUCCAAGUCUUCAGUAAUUUUUUGAUUAAGCACUGAGUACCUUUUCUGCAAGGAUAUUCUGACUACUGAAAGUUAAGUGCUUCAGUGAAUUAUUUCCAUAAUGUUGUCUUGGGAAAUAUUUACUUUAUGCAUAAAACACCUGUGAACUGUACCUUUCCAAACAAUUAGGAUGUUUAGUCAUACAACUAUUGCACACAAGUAACAAGAUACUGACAAGACUAAUGGAAAAGAUUUUAUCAAAAUGACUUUUUUGUUACUUUGAAAGACAGAAAAUUAUAGCAAGGGCCACAAAGAAGAAAAUUAUAUGUUGUGACCAUUUAUGUUACUCAGAAGUUGUGUUUUUCCACACUUAGUGUAGCAGCAAAUCCAAAUAAAAGAGCUACAUACAAACACUGCUUAAUUCCAGAUAAAGGUACAUUCUCAUCUUCAAGGAAAAGUCCGAAAUACUGAACCUUCAUGACCUCUUAUUUACUUGUGAGUGUCUCAGUGACUGUGUUUAGAUCAGACAGAACAUGCUUGCAUUUAUUCAGGACCUGAGACACGAAACAGCACUUCUGUAUGGCAGAGGGAGACCAUGCAAGCACCAUGAAUCUACCAAAAAGCACUGUGAAUGGUGAAGUGAACUUCAGAAAUUAUACAAUUGCUUCUAAAACUCUUUCUCUGGAAAGUUAGUCAAAUAGAACAAAGUGAUUCUUCACACCUUCAGAUUAGGCAUUUGAAGUACCUGUAAUAUGCCUACAAAAAGAAUUGCAUGUUAAUGACAUAUGCUUACUAUGCCUGCCUUUACGUUUAGAACCAAGUAGGCUUUUUCUAGUCAUAAAUUACAUUGUUUAACUGGAAUCUGUUUUAAAAUCAAUUCAGUUAACUCAGUGCCUCUGAUUUCACUGACGCAAAUCUAACAGGAAAAAAACAGGUUUAAACUAAUUAAAGAGGCACUAAGACUGAACAGAAUCCUGUUUUUUUCUGUAGCCUGGAAAAAUGCAGAGACAGUCUGAAUUUAUUCAAGAGAAACUUACAAGUGACUAUAUAGGAGUUUGUUCUUAGUAGAGAGGGAAGAUAACUAGAACUACUGGGACAGUUUUCUCAGUCUUGCUCCUGUUUGCAUCAUGUCUCACUGAAGGUCAUUUGUUCUCAUGAGCAUUAAAUUCAGAAACCAUUCCUUUAAAAUUUCCAUUUCAAUGCAUUGUGAAUCACUGUCACUUACCAAGUGAUACAGUUUGGGAUUGCAUGAAAUUGCUUCCAAAAGGGAGUAACGCCCUGGCAAGUUUAUCUCAUUUAUAAUCCCUUAAGUACUUCAGAAGAAGCACACUGAAAUCUCAGAGAGAUGCUCUGUUCAUUAUCAUGUUCAGAAACUGAUAUUGCAGCUAGCAUAAGAAGGCCAAAGACGGCCUUUAGCAGCUCUGAUGUCAUAUAGCAUAACAAAAGGCUUCUC